UACAGAGGCCACGAGCGUUAGGCGGAAUCACUGGGCUUAAAGCGUGUGUAGGUGGAUAGGUAAGUACCUUGUGAAAUCCCACGGCUCAACCGUGGAACUGCUUGGUAUACUGCCCGUCUUGAGGCACUCAGGGGCGAGCGGAACAGAUGGUGGAGCGGUGAAAUGCGUAGAUAUCAUCUGGAACGCCAAUGGUGAAGACAGCUCGCUGGGGGUGUACUGACACUGAGACACGAAAGCCAGGGGAGCAAACGGG
rnacentral:rRNA from 1 species